rnacentral:rRNA from 1 species
CCCUUAGAUGUUCUGGGCUGCACCCGUGCUACACUGGCAGGUUCAGCGAGCUUCAUGCCCUGAUCUGAAAGGAAUGGGAAAUCUUUUCAAAACCUGCCGUGCUUGGGAUAGAUGCUUGCAAUUAUUCAUCUUCAACGAGGAUUGCCUUGUAAGCGCACGUCAUCAGCGUGCAUUGAAUACGACCCUGUAUUCUGUACACACCGCCCGUCGCUCCUACCGAUUGAAGUUUUCGGUGAGUUGACAGGAGGAUUUUUUUGAAACUGGUUCGCCAGUGGAUUUUAGAUCCAAAUGCCAACGAAUCGAUGGCUUUAGAGGAAGGAGAAGUCGUAACA